rnacentral:rRNA from 1 species
UAGGGAAUAUUGCACAAUGGAGGAAACUCUGAUGCAGCGACGCCGCGUGAGUGAUGAAGGCUUUCGGGUCGUAAAGCUCUGUCGCAGGGGAAUAACACAAUGAAGGUACCCUGUAAGAAAGGAUCGGCUAACUUCGUGCCAGCAGCCGCGGUAAGACGAGGGAUCCUAGCGUUGUUCGGAAUCAUUGGGCGUAAAGCGGGUGCAGGUGGCUAUGUAAGUCAGAUGUGAAAGCCCAGGGCUCAACCCUGGAAGUGCAUUUGAUACUGCGUAGCUUGAGUGCUGGAGAGGUUACUAGAAUUCUUGGUGUAGUGGUGAAAUACGUAGAUAUCAAGAGGAAUACCGGUGGCGAAGGCGGGUAACUGGCCAGACACUGACACUCAGACCCGAAAGCGUGGGGAUCAAACAGG